GGAAAGCAUUGAUUCAAUGCUUCCUAUGGGGAAGUACUAACACGUUUGUUGCGCAUGCACAUUAGCCCCCUCCACCCUGUCGACUGACAGCGGAUUCCGAACUUGACCCAACAUUGGGUCUUGAAUCAGGUAAGUGACAAUUUAAGCACAGGUGGCAGGGACGCGGGGGUACUAAACUGUACUCCUAGCACUAUAGUCUCCUUCUAAGUGUACUUUACAUUUUUAUGAUACCAUAUUUACAUAAACCAAACAAAUGGGAGAAAAACACACAUUCCUUCUUAAUUGUGCAUGCA